UUUUACUUUAUAUCAGAAUGCCUAGGACAUAUGUUAAAAUACAGACUCCUGAGGGCUAACCCUGGAUAUUCUGAUUCAUGAAACACAGGUUGAAGUCCAGGAAUCUGCAUUUCAAAUAAGCACCCCAGGUGAUACUAGUAUAGU
rnacentral:pre_miRNA from 1 species